rnacentral:rRNA from 1 species
AGUGAACGCUGGCGGUAGGCCUAACACAUGCAAGUCGAACGGCAGCACAGUAAGAGCUUGCUCUUACGGGUGGCGAGUGGCGGACGGGUGAGGAAUACAUCGGAAUCUACUUUUUCGAGGGGGAUAACGUAGGGAAACUUACGCUAAUACCGCAUACGACCUACGGGUGAAAGCAGGGGAUCUUAGGACCUUGCGCGAUCGAAUGAGCCGAUGUCGGAUUAGCUAGUUGGCGGGGUAAAGGCCCACCAAGGCGACGAUCCGUAGCUGGUCUGAGAGGAUGAUCAGCCACACUGGAACUGAGACACGGUCCAGACUCCUACGGGAGGCAGCAGUGGGGAAUAUUGGACAAUGGGCGCAAGCCUGAUCCAGCCAUACCGCGUGGGUGAAGAAGGCCUUCGGGUUGUAAAGCCCUUUUGUUGGGAAAGAAAAGCAGCAGGUUAAUACCCCGCUGUUCUGACGUUACCCAAAGAAUAAGCACCGGCUAACUUCGUG